rnacentral:rRNA from 1 species
UACGUAGGGUGCGAGCGUUGUCCGGAAUUAUUGGGCGUAAAGAGCUUGUAGGCGGUCUGUCGCGUCUGCUGUGAAAAUCCGGGGCCCAACCCCGGACUUGCAGUGGGUACGGGCAGACUAGAGUGUGGUAGGGGAGACUGGAAUUCCUGGUGUAGCGGUGAAAUGCGCAGAUAUCAGGAGGAACACCGAUGGCGAAGGCAGGUCUCUGGGCCACUACUGACGCUGAGAAGCGAAAGCCAGGGGAGCAAACGGG